GCCUGAGUGGCUCAGUGAUUGAGCAUCUGCCUUGGACUCAGGUGGUGAUCCUGGGGUCCUGGGAUCGAGUCCCAUAUCAGGUU
rnacentral:tRNA from 1 species